rnacentral:rRNA from 1 species
GACAGAGGUCCCGAGCGUUAGGCGGAAUCACUGGGCUUAAAGCGUGUGUAGGCGGAUGUCUAAGUACCUUGUGAAAUCCCACGGCUUAACCGUGGAACUGCUUGGUAUACUGGCGGUCUUGAGCCACUUAGGGGCUACCGGAACAAAUGGUGGAGCGGUGAAAUGCGUAGAUAUCAUUUGGAACGCCAAUGGUGAAAACAGGUAGCUGGGAGUGUGCUGACGCUGAGACACGAAAGCCAGGGGAGCAAACGGG